rnacentral:rRNA from 1 species
GACGAACGCUGGCGGCGUGCUUAACACAUGCAAGUCGAACGGAAAGGCCCUGCUUUUGUGGGGUGCUCGAGUGGCGAACGGGUGAGUAACACGUGAGUAACCUGCCCUUGACUUUGGGAUAACUUCAGGAAACUGGGGCUAAUACCGGAUAGCAUCUCCUCCUCCAUGGGGGGGGUUGGAACGUUUGGGCGGUUGGGGAUGGACUCGCGGGUUAUCAGCUAGUUGGUUGGGUAGUGGCAUACCAAGGCUUUGACGGGUAGCCGGCCUGAGAGGGUGACCGGCCACAUUGGGACUGAGAUACGGCCCAGACUCCUACGGGAGGCAGCAGUGGGGAAUAUUGCACAAUGGGCGGAAGCCUGAUGCAGCAACGCCGCGUGCGGGAUGACGGCCUGCGGGUUGUAAACCGCUUUCGCUUGUGACGAAGCGUUAGUGACGGUAAUGGGUAAAGAAGCACCGGCUAACUACGUG